UACGAAGGGGGCUAGCGUUGCUCGGAAUCACUGGGCGUAAAGGGUGCGUAGGCGGGGCUUUAAGUCAGGGGUGAAAUCCUGGAGCUCAACUCCAGAACUGCCUUUGAUACUGGCAAUCUCGAGUCCGGGAGAGGUGAGUGGAACUGCGAGUGUAGAGGUGAAAUUCGUAGAUAUUCGCAAGAACACCAGUGGCGAAGGCGGCUCACUGGCCCGGUACUGACGCUGAGGUGCGAAAGCGUGGGGAGCAAACAGG
rnacentral:rRNA from 1 species